rnacentral:rRNA from 1 species
AUAUCAGUAAGCGGAGGAAAAGAAACUAACAAGGAUUCCCUCAGUAGCGGCGAGCGAACAGGGAAGAGCCCAUAACCGAAUCCCUUGGUGUGAUAUCAAUGGGAAAUGUGGUGUUGGGGUGGUUUCUUGCUGUACAUAAAGCAAUUUUAAGUCCACGUGAUUGUGGCGUCUGCCA